rnacentral:misc_RNA from 1 species
UGAAUUACUAGCAUGCUCUAUGCUGCUAAUAAUCAUCGCUCUUGUGAACCGAAUGUGAGCUGUGCUGCUGUUUGCUGCUGCGGGGAGCAAUCUCCGCCGGGCGAGCGGGCCAGUCUUACAAACACACACACACACAUUGUCUUUGUUUAUAGCUUAUCAAACACACACGUAUUUUCAAUAAUACACACAA